GUAGACUUUUUGUAUCAGCUUCCAUGGAAGGUUAUGUCCUCUUCUAUGAAGCUGUAGAUU
rnacentral:sRNA from 1 species